UGAGGCAUUGGGCGCUGGUGGCACAUCAUGCAAUGCAUUGGCAAUGCUAGGCUUGUGUCACAUGAGGUGUUACUAGGCCUGUGUCAAAUGUCACGUGAGACGCUGCUAAGCUUGUGUCACGUGUCACCUGAGGCGUUGCUAGACUUGUGUCACAUGAAGCGCUGCUAGAUUUGCUUCCUAUGAGGCAUUGCUAGGCUUGUCUUACAUGAGAUGUUUGCAAGACUGGCGUCCCGCUACUGGUGUAGGUGCAGUGUCAGAGCCAGUAAGAUGCUAGCUUCUCACAGCAAGGUGACUGCUGGGUACAGGAGUGGUGGGUGUUGAUGGCUCCUGGGGACAACCCAUGUGUUGUUCCCCCACAAAUAUGUCAGGUGUAACAACAGGUAUGAAGCAAAAUUCUGUUUACAGACUUUAGCAUCAAAAUGAAUUCUUCACACAUUUAUUGAGACAUUUAUGUGAUUUUGAUUUAAAUCAACACAGAAUAAUCAUUAGGUGUUAAGUGUUUGUGUAUGACAGUCCUCCAGGAUUGGGGCAUUGUGUCAUAGACCCUGGAGGAGAGUCACCAAUGCUCACCCACAUGUACCAAGCACCCCUCUGCUUUCUAUUUAUUUCUGCAGUGGUCAUGUCAGUGGGAAGUCACAAGCUGUUCCAAUCCUUUACAGUGAACUUCAGAUGUCCCUUGCUUGUCUUGUAAUAUGAAUUCAAAUGGGUCUAUGUACAUCAGGGAUCCGUCCCACAGCUGUUGUAGCGCUACAACAUCCGAAGCCUAUGUUAAAUCAUGGGAGGGAAUGGGACCCUGUCCUGUGAUCUGAUACUGUAACAUGUGCAGAAUUAAUCAAUUUGUUUUCCGGAAACCACUGAUUUCUUGGUAUGUUGACUGGCAGUUGUUGCCCCUAUACUGACAUGGCCGUCUGCACCCGAAGCUGAUGUUAACCAAUGACUUCCUUCUCCCUCUGCUGUAUAUUCUCAUUGUCCACACAGUGUAGCCCGUAUCUGUCAGGGGUAGUGUGUGUGCUGCCUGGUGGGCCGCACCAGAGUGGAUACAAGUGAUGUUUGCAAUGACCAGCUUUAACUUUAUGAAGGAAAGGUGCACUUGAGAUAUUGCCAGACAUUAGCUACUCAUACAUUGUUUGUACACAUCUUGUACUUGGGAUGUUACCAUGGAAACUGGUUGUCGGUCUCAUGACUGAUUGGUUGAUGUACGAGCCAAUCAGAGUUCUGUAGCAGACAAUGCUUGUUCUAUCUUGUAAUGCUUCAAAGGUUUCAGGAUAAUAAAUCAGUUUUGAUUUA